UGAUAAUAUCAGGAUGAUCUC
rnacentral:piRNA from 1 species